rnacentral:rRNA from 1 species
AGAGUUUGAUCCUGGCUCAGAUUGAACGCUGGCGGCAGGCCUAACACAUGCAAGUCGAGCGGUAGAGAGGUGCUUGCACCUCUUGAGAGCGGCGGACGGGUGAGUAAUGCCUAGGAAUCUGCCUGGUAGUGGGGGAUAACGCUCGGAAACGGACGCUAAUACCGCAUACGUCCUACGGGAGAAAGCAGGGGACCUUCGGGCCUUGCGCUAUCAGAUGAGCCUAGGUCGGAUUAGCUAGUUGGUGGGGUAAUGGCUCACCAAGGCGACGAUCCGUAACUGGUCUGAGAGGAUGAUCAGUCACACUGGAACUGAGACACGGUCCAGACUCCUACGGGAGGCAGCAGUGGGGAAUAUUGGACAAUGGGCGAAAGCCUGAUCCAGCCAUGCCGCGUGUGUGAAGAAGGUCUUCGGAUUGUAAAGCACUUUAAGUUGGGAGGAAGGGCAUUAACCUAAUACGUUAGUGUUUGGACGUACCGACAGAAUAAG